rnacentral:tRNA from 1 species
AGCCCGGUCGUCUAGCGGCCAAACCUGGUCAGAAAACCCCGAGGACGCCGGUUCGAAUCCGGCCCGGGCUA